UGCCAAGCAUUCUCAAGGUAAGCUUGACUUCAAUGCUCUACCUUCUUCCAUGAUUCCACCUGCAUUAAUGCAAAGACCCAUUCCAUUAUUUCAGAAACACCUGCUGUUUGUUCAAUUCAACUGCAAUCUCCAACCAAAGCAAACUCUCAAGGUAUUUUACAGUUCACUACUCUCGUAUAUACAUUUCACACCCAACAGAGCAUGCUUCAUACAUUAGGAAAUCACAGUUCACAACCAACAACACAUUUAAGUUCAACUCCAUUAGGAAUACAGAAAAUGCGGCGCAUAACUUGAUCAGUUUCACAGAUGAUAAGAGAAACAUUAUAUGCAUACUUCACUGCACUCUAGAACACAAACAUGAGAGAACCCCAAACUUCAAACCACAUGUCAUAAUCACAAUAGAAAGUUCAGUGCUUGGUGAUAUUUAUUGCAUA
rnacentral:lncRNA from 1 species